UCUUGGUCAUUUAGAGGAAGUAAAAGUCGUAACAAGGUCUCCGUUUGGUGAACCAGCGGAGGGAUCAUUACCGAGUUUACAACUCCCAAACCCAAUGUGAACGUUACCAAACUGUUGCCUCGGCGGGAUCUCUGCCCCGGGUGCGUCGCAGCCCCGGACCAAGGCGCCCGCCGGAGGACCAACCAAAACUCUUAUUGUAUACCCCCUCGCGGGUUUUUUACUAUCUGAGCCAUCUCGGCGCCCCUCGUGGGCGUUUCGAAAAUGAAUCAAAACUUUCAACAACGGAUCUCUUGGUUCUGGCAUCGAUGAAGAACGCAGCGAAAUGCGAUAAGUAAUGUGAAUUGCAGAAUUCAGUGAAUCAUCGAAUCUUUGAACGCACAUUGCGCCCGCCAGUAUUCUGGCGGGCAUGCCUGUCCGAGCGUCAUUUCAACCCUCGAACCCCUCCGGGGGGUCGGCGUUGGGGAUCGGCCCUUUACGGGGCCGACCCCGAAAUACAGUGGCGGUCUCGCCGCAGCCUCUCCUGCGCAGUAGUUUGCACACUCGCAUCGGGAGCGCGGCGCGUCCACAGCCGUUAAACACCCCAAACUUCUGAAAUGUUGACCUCGGAUCAGGUAGGAAUACCCGCUGAACUUAAGCAUAUCAAUAAGCGGAGGAA
rnacentral:rRNA from 1 species